rnacentral:rRNA from 1 species
ACUACGGGAGGCAGCAGUGGGGGAUAUUGCACAAUGGGGGGAACCCUGAUGCAGCGACGCCGCGUGUGGGAAGACGGUCCUCUGGAUUGUAAACCACUGUCCCCAGGGACGAAAAUGACGGUACCUGGGGAGGAAGCUCCGGCUAACUACGUGCCAGCAGCCGCGGUAAUACGUAGGGAGCGAGCGUUGUCCGGAAUUACUGGGUGUAAAGGGAGCGUAGGCGGGGAUGCAAGUUGGGUGUCAAAACUACCGGCUCAACUGGUAGUCGCACUCAAAACUGCAGCUCUUGAGUGAAGUAGAGGCAGGCGGAAUUCCUAGUGUAGCGGUGAAAUGCGUAGAUAUUAGGAGGAACACCAGUGGCGAAGGCGGAUUGCUGGACAGUAACUGACGCUGAGGCGCGAAAGCGUGGGGAGCAAACAGGAUUAGAUACCCUGGUAGUC